AAGAAUUUAGUUUAAAUUAUAAACAUAAAUUUGUCAAAUUUAAAAUACUAUAGGGUAAUUCUUU
rnacentral:tRNA from 1 species